rnacentral:rRNA from 1 species
UACGGAGGAUGCGAGCGUUAUCCGGAUUUAUUGGGUUUAAAGGGUGCGUAGGCGGAGUGCCAAGUCAGCGGUAAAAAUUCGGGGCUCAACCCCGUCGUGCCGUUGAAACUGGCGCCCUUGAGUGGGCGAGAAGUAUGCGGAAUGCGUGGUGUAGCGGUGAAAUGCAUAGAUAUCACGCAGAACCCCGAUUGCAAAGGCAGCAUACCGGCGCCCGACUGACGCUGAAGCACGAAAGCGUGGGUAUCGAACAGG